rnacentral:lncRNA from 1 species
AUAGAACUGAAAUGGGGGUGGGUUGGGGGAGGGGAGAUCUUAGAUCUGGUUCCUCAGAUUUAAUGGAUGAAAAUGUUGAGAGGCUGAGGGGCAAGUGACUCACCUGUAGUCACAGGAGCACCGGGGGCAGAGCUGGGCUUGGCUUUUCUUUGAGGGACCACUGUUCUCAUUGCCCACCGAGCCUCUGAGGCAGGAUGGACCCUCACCUGAUAGAUACCAGACUCUCUUUGGUACUGACAACCGAGGCUGGGCAGUUAAAAAUCUUCUUCAGAACCCCUCAUCCCCAAAGAGACCUACAGAGAGACUUCAAACUUUUACAAGUGAGAAUUCUGAGAAUUGCAACCUUUGAUCUGUAUGUAUGAAAAUGCAUAUUCAUUAUCAUAAUUGCUUUGCUUUUACAUUUCUAGCUUACAACUCUAAAUAUCCAUUAUGUGUGGGUUAUUCUUCAAGAAGUGUAACAUAGGUUAAGUAACUUUCCACCACUGAAAGGACUGAGUCCAAUCCUUUAUCUUGGGCAGACUGUUUGCAAAUAUUCAUCAACUAGCCUUUUGUAUACUAGCCAGUAUGUAUCAAGCAUCAACCAUAUUCCUGCUCAAAAAGCCCUUGUCUCCUUAGGGAGACAGACAGGUGUCUGGGUUUUACAAGAUUUCAGGGAAGAAGAUGUGAGUUGGGCUUUGGAAGAGGACUGUUUGAUCCAUUCUGAUCCUGUUAUUCAUUGAAUAUCUAUCAUGCACAGGUGUGGCACAAGGUUCUACAGAGUCAAAAGCAUGGGGCCAAUCACAAAAAGCCAACUAUCCAAUAUGUGAGAAAACAUCUGGAAAAAUCUAACUCUAAUAAAAAGUAGCAAAAUAACAGCUACAUCGUAAGAGAAAAGAAAAACCACCCAUGUUUUAAAGGGAUUCAGAGGAGGAAGAAGCACAGCUGCCUAGAGAAAUCAGGUGACUCUGGGAAAACCAUGACACUUUGUGGCCUAGCAGAAGAAGUGGGUGUGACAGGCAAAGAUGUGGAACACGUGGGUGGGGUUAUUCCAGGUAAAGGAAACUGUGUACCCCAAGUCAGGAAGAUAGUAAGGUACAGGGUAUAGUUUGCCCAGGAUGGUCGCCCUAGCCCACAUGCUCUGUGGCCAGGCCAUGGCAAGUCAUGGAGGUGGUGAAAGCAAUGGAAAGCUGAGCUGGGUGUGUGGACAGGUACGUUAGACUGGGGAGAGAGGAGGAAAAAUGGCCAGCUAAAAGGGCUGUCAAUCAGGGUGAGGAUCACAGUGGGUUUAAACUGACAAAAUAGGCAUUUGACUCUUCAUGCCUUAUACCGAUGCCUUAUGUUCUUUUGCAUGCAUAAAAUAUUACAUA